rnacentral:lncRNA from 1 species
AAAAGAGUUGAAGAAGGUGAAGGGGGGAAAUUAAGGUAUCCGAGGUCCUGCGGAAGAAAGCUCGUGGAUGGUGAAUAAUUGUCAUUAUUAACAUUUGUUGCCUACCAUUAUGUUGUGAUUUUAACUGGGUAAAUGCUUUAUUUUUUAUUUUUUUUCUAUUUUUAUUUUUUAAUUUUGACAUGAUUUAGGGGUAAUAAAUA